rnacentral:tRNA from 1 species
GCUCAGUUGGUUAAUCGUCUGACUCUUGAUUUUGGCUCAGGUCAUGAACUCGUUGUGGGAUCAAGUCCUACAUUGGGCU